UACGAAGGGGGCUAGCGUUGCUCGGAAUCACUGGGCGUAAAGCGCACGUAGGCGGCUUUUAAGUCAGAGGUGAAAUCCUGGAGCUCAACUCCAGAACUGCCUUGAUACUGGAGAGCUUGAGUCCGGGAGAGGUGAGUGGAACUGCGAGUGUAGAGGUGAAAUUCGUAGAUAUCGCAAGAACACCAGUGGCGAAGGCGGCUCACUGGCCCGGUACUGACGCUGAGGUGCGAAAGCGUGGGGA
rnacentral:rRNA from 1 species